rnacentral:lncRNA from 1 species
CCCUCAAAAGAGACAUGACUGAGAGAACCUCGAACUUUUACUGCAUUCCUUUUGCGGCUUCUUUUAGCCCUUGCAUGAUCCACGCCAGAGAAAGUGCCAUGCAGCCACCACGUAAUUAUCGCUACUGUGAACGUGUGGACCGUUCCGAGUAUGGACGGUGGUACCACCUUUUUUUAUUUUUUUCAUUUUAGAAUUCGUGUGCAAGGUCACCAUCCCCUUUGUGUAACCAUGGAUGCAUGCUGCAU